rnacentral:rRNA from 1 species
AUUGAACGCUGGCGGCAGGCUUAACACAUGCAAGUCGAGCGGGGUGAUGGUGCUUGCACUAUCACUUAGCGGCGGACGGGUGAGUAAUGCUUAGGAAUCUGCCUAUUAGUGGGGGACAACAUCUCGAAAGGGAUGCUAAUACCGCAUACGUCCUACGGGAGAAAGCAGGGGAUCACUUGUGACCUUGUGCUAAUAGAUGAGCCUAAGUCGGAUUAGCUAGUUGGUGGGGUAAAGGCCUACCAAGGCGACGAUCUGUAGCGGGUCUGAGAGGAUGAUCCGCCACACUGGGACUGGGACACGGCCCAGACUCCUACGGGAGGCAGCAGUGGGGAAUAUUGGACAAUGGGGGGAACCCUGAUCCAGCCAUGCCGCGUGUGUGAAGAAGGCCUUAUGGUUGUAAAGCACUUUAAGCGAGGAGGAGGCUUACCUAGUUAAUACCUGGGAUAAGUGGACGUUACUCGCAGAAUAAGCACCGGCUAACUCUGUGCCAGCAGCCGCGGUAA